rnacentral:rRNA from 1 species
GGGCCUACAAGCUUACCGAAAUCAGCCAAACUCCGAAUGCCGGUAAGUGAGAGCGCGGCAGUGAGACUGCGGGGGAUAAGCUUCGUAGUCGAGAGGGAAACAGCCCAGAUCACCAGCUAAGGCCCCUAAGCGUGUGCUAAGUGGAAAAGGAUGUGGGGUCGCAUAGACAACCAGGAGGUUGGCUUAGAAGCAGCCAUCCUUGAAAGAGUGCGUAAUAGCUCACUGGUCAAGUGGUUCCGCGCCGACAAUGUAGCGGGGCUCAAGCACACCGCCGAAGCUGUGGCAUUCACGCGUGUACUUCGCAUGGCCUCUUGUGGGGUUGUGUGCAGGUGUGUGGAUGGGUAGGGGAGCGUCGUGCCGGGGGUGAAGCAGCCGAGUGAUCGAGUUGUGGACGCGGUGCGAGUGAGAAUGCAGGCAUGAGUAGCGAAAGAAGGGUGAGAAACCCUUCCGCCGGAUGACCAAGGGUUCCAGGGCCAGGUUAAUCCGCCCUGGGUGAGUCGGGGCCUAAGGCGAGGCCGAGAGGCGUAGUCGAUGGAUAACGGGUUGAUAUUCCCGUACCCGCGAAGGAGCGUCCCUGAUGAACUUCGUUGUGCUAACCAUCCGAGCUUGGUGUGGUCUUCGGACUGUGCUGGGGGAGCGUGGGAACCUGGCGGGUAGUAGUCAAGCGAUGGGGUGACGCAGGAAGGUAGCUGAGCCCGGCCGGUGGUUGUGCCGGGGUAAGCGUGUAGGCCGUGUCGUAGGUAAAUCCGCGGCGCGUGUGGCUGAGACGUGAUGCCGAGCCGAUUCAGGUGAAGUCAGUGAUCCUAUGCUGUCGAGAAAAGCCUCUAGCGAGUUCCGAGCGGCCCGUACCCCAAACCGACACAGGUGGUCAGGUAGAGAAUACCGAGGCGAUCGGGUGAACUGUGGUUAAGGAACUCGGCAAAUUGCCCCCGUAACUUUGGGAGAAGGGGGGCCGGAGACGUGAAGGCACGUGCUGCUGGAGCGUUGUAUGGCCGCAGAGAGCAGGGGGAAGCGACUGUUUACUAAAAACACAGGUCCAUGCGAAGAAGUAAUUCGAUGUAUAUGGACUGACGCCUGCCCGGUGCUGGAACGUUAAGGGGACCUGUUAGUCUUUCGGGGCGAAGCGGAGAACUUAAGCGCCAGUAAACGGCGGUGGUAACUAUAACCAUCCUAAGGUAGCGAAAUUCCUUGUCGGGUAAGUUCCGACCUGCACGAAUGGCGUAACGACUUCCCCACUGUCUCAACCACAGGCCCGGCGAAAUUGCAUUACGAGUAAAGAUGCUCGUUACGCGCGGCAGGACGGAAAGACCCCGGGACCUUUACUAUAGCUUGACAUUGGUAUCCGAAUUUGCUUGUGUAGGAUAGGUGGGAGCCGGUGAAGUGUGCACGCCAGUGCAUGUGGAGGCAAUCUUGAAAUACCACUCUGGUUGGUUUGGGUAUCUAACUUCGGACCGUUAUCCGGUUCAGGGACAGUGUCUGGUGGGUAGUUUAACUGGGGCGGUUGCCUCCUAAAGGGUAACGGAGGCGCCCAAAGGUUCCCUCAGCCUGGUUGGCAAUCAGGUGUUGAGUGUAAGUGCACAAGGGAGCUUGACUGUGAGACUGACGGGUCGAGCAGGGACGAAAGUCGGGACUAGUGAUCCGGCACUGGCGUAUGGAAGCGGUGUCGCUCAACGGAUAAAAGGUACCCCGGGGAUAACAGGCUGAUCUUCCCCAAGAGUCCAUAUCGACGGGAUGGUUUGGCACCUCGAUGUCGGCUCGUCGCAUCCUGGGGCUGUAGCAGGUCCCAAGGGUUGGGCUGUUCGCCCAUUAAAGCGGUACGCGAGCUGGGUUUAGAACGUCGUGAGACAGUUCGGUCCCUAUCCGCCGUGCGCGUAGGAUACUUGAGAAGGGCUGUCCCUAGUACGAGAGGACCGGGACGGACGAACCUCUGGUGUGCCAGUUGUCCCGCCAGGGGCACGGCUGGUUAGCUACGUUCGGAAGGGAUAACCGCUGAAAGCAUCUAAGCGGGAAGCUCGCUUCAAGAUGAGGUAUCCCAUCCACCCUUGU